rnacentral:rRNA from 1 species
UACCAGCACCCCGAGUGGUCGGGACGUUUUAUUGGGCCUAAAGCAUCCGUAGCCGGGUUCUACAAGUCUUCCGUUAAAUCCAGCUGCUUAACAGAUGGGCUGCGGAAGAUACUAUGGAGCUAGGAGGCGGGAGAGGCAAGCGGUACUCGAUGGGUAGGGGUAAAAUCCGUUGAUCCAUUGAAGACCACCAGUGGCGAAGGCGGCUUGCCAGAACGCGCUCGACGGGUAGGGAUGAAAGCUGGGGGAGCAACCGGG